GACGAACGCUGGCGGCGUGCUUAACACAUGCAAGUCGAACGGAAAGGCCCUGCUUUUGUGGGGUGCUCGAGUGGCGAACGGGUGAGUAACACGUGAGUAACCUGCCCUUGACUUUGGGAUAACUUCAGGAAACUGGGGCUAAUACCGGAUAGGAGCUCCUGCUGCAUGGUGGGGGUUGGAAAGUUUCGGCGGUUGGGGAUGGACUCGCGGCUUAUCAGCUUGUUGGUGGGGUAGUGGCUUACCAAGGCUUUGACGGGUAGCCGGCCUGAGAGGGUGACCGGCCACAUUGGGACUGAGAUACGGCCCAGACUCCUACGGGAGGCAGCAGUGGGGAGUAUUGCACAAUGGGCGGACGCCUGAUGCAGCAACGCCGCAUGCGGGAUGACGGCCUUCGGGUUGUAAACCGCUUUCGCCUGUGACGAAGCGUGAGUGACGGUAAUGGGUAAAGAAGCACCGGCUAACUACGUG
rnacentral:rRNA from 1 species